AGUGAACGCUGGCGGUAGGCCUAACACAUGCAAGUCGAACGGCAGCACAGUAAGAGCUUGCUCUUACGGGUGGCGAGUGGCGGACGGGUGAGGAAUACAUCGGAAUCUACUUUUUCGUGGGGGAUAACGUAGGGAAACUUACGCUAAUACCGCAUACGACCUACGGGUGAAAGCAGGGGAACUUCGGACCUUGCGCGAUUGAAUGAGCCGAUGACGGAUUAGAUAGUUGGCGGGGUAAAGGCCCACCAAGGCGACGAUCCGUAGCCGGUCUGAGAGGAUGAUCAGCCGCACUGGAACUGAGACACGGUCCAGACUCCUACGGGAGGCAGCAGUGGGGAAUAUUGGACAAUGGGCGCAAGCCUGAUCCAGCCAUACCGCGUGGGUGAAGAAGGCCUUCGGGUUGUAAAGCCCUUUUGUUGGGAAAGAAAAGCAGCAGGUUAAUACCCCGCUGUUCUGACGGUACCCAAAGAAUAAGCACCGGCUAACUUCGUG
rnacentral:rRNA from 1 species